rnacentral:lncRNA from 1 species
GGGCAUCUCCGGGGGAACUGCUGAGUUGUUGUACAUGGCUGCAUCCGACUGGAAGGUGAUCUCGCUGAACAUCAUCCAGGUGUCGGCAAAGUAGUACUGGCACUUGAUGGCACUGGCCAUGCGGUGCAGCAGGGGCACGGUGACGAAGCGGGCGCUGGGGUUGACGUCGUCCAGCACCAGCACCGAGGAGAUGGCGUUGGGCUCCCACUCGUUGGCAUCGGAUCGGAAAUAGCAUUGCACCUCCUUGAAGAUCUUCACCCCUUUGGCGAACAUGUUGUUGCAGUGCACCUGUGGGGCAACCCGUCAGCGUGGUGCGCCCAGGGGAUGGGGACGGGGAGUGCGGGGCAUGCGGACCUUCAU